CUUUCAUGAUCACGAGAUCCAUGCUGGAAGGACAAAUGAUCAAUCAAUAUCACAAGGGAAAAAUGAUAGGAAACACAAAGAGCAAAUAGAUUAUACAGUACAAAUCAAAAAUUAUUUUUUAUGAUGGUUGACCUGAGAGCAAUACACCACAGGAGCAGUGGAACUAACACAUGGUGCAUCAUAUAUUUCCAGAUUAAAAACAUAGUCCCCAUACUAUUGAAAAAACAUUACCCUAAUUUCCUUAUUGUUGGAAAAGUGAAAUGCUAGUUGCACAAGCAUCCCCCAAAAACCUCAGUAGAUCACAUCUUAGAUGCAAGAUUUUGACAAAUUACCCCUCAAAUAUUCAAAUUUUGAGCAUGCCAGAAUCUACUCUUUGUUAGUCUCAGGAUAACAUUUAAAAACAAACCAAUAAUAUCAUAUAGAAGAAAUGCUCUUAUCACAACUUAACUGUCCCAAAAGGAAACCCGGAUUAUUGGAAGUAAAGAAAUUUCAAAAAGGGGGGAGGGGGGGGGGAGACCUAUAUAAGAAUUCCCCACACCAAAUAAACACAUUCUCUGAGCAGAAAACCCUAAAAUGUAACUAACACCAAAUUUUCACACUAGACGAACAAGUUUCACUGCCUAAAUUUAUAAACGAGCUCAUCCAAACAGGAAAAAAGUCAAAAGAACAUCUAUCGUGUUCGUACAAGUGAGUGAAAAUAAAACAGGUAAGAAUACAGACAUAAUAAAUAAAUACACGUACCCGAGACUUGGAGUCUCUGGGAUAUUCGUCGCCACCUCCAUGGCUGCUGCUGCGAGGCUGAGGAGAAGAGCCGGCAUCAGCGUAGUUGUUGCCGACGUCCACUCCAUUGUCUUCGUAUCUUGCUUCGUAGUCCGUCAUAUUUAGGGAUUUAGGUUUCUUUUAGAAAUCAAGCCGUUUCACUCUUUGAAUCUCUCCCGGUAUCUCUCACCAACAGUCUCUCUCUCUCUAUAUAUAUCUAUAUAUAUAUAUAUCUCUCUCUCUCUCUGGUGAUAAGUGGAGAGGUGAGAAGCCAAGGCAAAACUAGAAGCAGGAGCGAGAAGUGCAAACUCAAGAGUCUGUUUCUUCGUGCUCCUAACGAGUGACGGCAAGACGAGGAGUAAAUAGCGUGCCGGAAUUAUUUUUUUUACUAAACCAUUUUAUGCAUUUUAGUAUUAUGGAAAAUUA
rnacentral:lncRNA from 1 species